UAGAGUUUGAUCCUGGCUCAGAUUGAACGCUGGCGGCAGGCCUAACACAUGCAAGUCGAGCGGAAACGACACUAACAAUCCUUCGGGUGCGUUAAUGGGCGUCGAGCGGCGGACGGGUGAGUAAUGCCUAGGAAAUUGCCUUGAUGUGGGGGAUAACCAUUGGAAACGAUGGCUAAUACCGCAUAAUGCCUACGGGCCAAAGAGGGGGACCUUCGGGCCUCUCGCGUCAAGAUAUGCCUAGGUGGGAUUAGCUAGUUGGUGAGGUAAUGGCUCACCAGGGCGACGAUCCCUAGCUGGUCUGAGAGGAUGAUCAGCCACACUGGAACUGAGACACGGUCCAGACUCCUACGGGAGGCAGCAGUGGGGAAUAUUGCACAAUGGGCGAAAGCCUGAUGCAGCCAUGCCGCGUGUAUGAAGAAGGCCUUCGGGUUGUAAAGUACUUUCAGUUGUGAGGAAGGGUGUGUAGUUAAUAGCUGCAUAUCUUGACGUUAGCAACAGAAGAAGCACCGGCUAACUCCGUGCCAGCAGCCGCGGUAAUACGGAGGGUGCGAGCGUUAAUCGGAAUUACUGGGCGUAAAGCGCAUGCAGGUGGUUCAUUAAGUCAGAUGUGAAAGCCCGGGGCUCAACCUCGGAACUGCAUUUGAAACUGGUGAACUAGAGUGCUGUAGAGGGGGGUAGAAUUUCA
rnacentral:rRNA from 1 species